UGCCCGUUUCUCCACAUCCUCGCCAGCAUCUAGAGUUCUCUGAUUUUUGAGCUACCAUAUUUUUGAAAAGAGGAGCAACUCACAGGCAAAGAGCAAAUCUUGAAAGGAGGGAAUGGCCGUGCAGCAGGGUUACUUAUCAAUCAUGUCAACAGCGGCAACACGAUACAAAGCCCUUUUAUUAGUACAGUUGCAGUUCCACUGCUGUGGAUGUGAAAUUCGUUACUGUUGACACAAAACCACUCUUCAUACAAAGAUGAACCUUGUUCUCCAGAGGCUUCCAGUCUAAGACGGCAGAUGGACAAAGCAGAAGAGAAUGUGGGCUCUGUCUAGUGCUUUUACCUGCUCUGUGACCUUGGACAAUUUGCUUUUAGCCUUCCAGUGUCCUCAGCUACAAAACAGGGAUGAUAACAAGCUCCUCCUGCCCCCCCCCCCCACCAUGGUCACUGUACUUACU